rnacentral:rRNA from 1 species
GGCGGCGUGCUUAACACAUGCAAGUCGAACGAGAAUUCGACGGAAAGAGACUUGGUCAAUGGAAGUUGAGGAAAGUGGCGGACGGGUGAGUAACGCGUGAGGAACCUGCCUUUCAGAGGGGGGACAACAGUUGGAAACGACUGCUAAUACCGCAUAACGCAUGAGGGUCGCAUGAUCUUUAUGCCAAAGAUUUAUCGCUGAAAGAUGGCCUCGCGUCUGAUUAGCUAGUUGGUGAGGUAACGGCCCACCAAGGCGACGAUCAGUAGCCGGACUGAGAGGUUGACCGGCCACAUUGGGACUGAGAUAUGGCCCAGACUCCUACGGGAGGCAGCAGUGGGGAAUAUUGGGCAAUGGGCGCAAGCCUGACCCAGCAACGCCGCGUGAAGGAAGAAGGCUUUCGGGUUGUAAACUUCUUUUAAGGGGGAAGAGCAGAAGACGGUACCCCUAGAAUAAGCCACGGCUAACUACGUG